rnacentral:sRNA from 1 species
GGGAUACCUGCGCUUGAAGGACAUCAUCCACCGUGACAUCAAGGAUGAGAACAUCGUGAUUGCCGAGGACUUCACAAUCAAGCUGAUAGACUUUGGCUCGGCCGCCUACUUGGAAAGGGGAAAAUUAUUUUAUACUUUCUGUGGGACCAUCGAGUACUGUGCACCGGAAGUUCUCAUGGGGAAUCCUCUUGUCCUGCAGCACCCUUCACAUCGUCGCCACAGCCAUCUUCCUAAAGGGCAUGUGUGUCCAUGGUCACACCAAGCCCGUUCACACCAAGAUCGUGAACAUGCCCGAUCACGUCUGAAGGGCACGUGACCCUGUUCUGAAGUGGCCUGCAGCUCCCGUGGCCCUCAGCAAAGCCAAUGGACGUGUACUCUGCUUCCUCCAGGAAGCCCUCCCCCUCUGGUGGACACGUCUUGUGGUUGGUGUCCACAAGGAAGUUCCUGAUUAGCCUCGGAGCUGCCCGAUGGCCUCUCCACUCCUGGCACAUGGCCUGCUGGCUGGCCUGGGGCAGAACUACAGAGGGCCGGAGCUGGAGAUGUGGUCUCUGGGAGUCACUCUGUACACGCUGGUCUUUGAGGAGAACCCCUUCUGUGAGCUGGAGGAGACCGUGGAGGCUGCCAUACACCCGCCAUACCUGGUGUCCAAAGAACUCAUGAGCCUUGUGUCUGGGCUGCUGCAGCCA